UACAGAGGUCUCAAGCGUUUGUCCGGAAUCAUUGGGCGUAAAGCGCGCGUAGGCGGCCCUGUAAGUCCGUUGUGAAAGUCAAAGGCUCAACCUUUGAAAGCCGAUGGAUACUGCAGGGCUAGAGUCCGGAAGAGGCGAGUGGAAUUCCUGGUGUAGCGGUGGAAUGCGCAGAUAUCAGGAGGAACACCAAUAGCGAAGGCAGCUCGCUGGGACGGUACUGACGCUAAGGCGCGAAAGCGUGGGGAGCGAACAGG
rnacentral:rRNA from 1 species